AUUGAACGCUGGCGGCAUGCCUUACACAUGCAAGUCGAACGGCAGCGCGGACUUCGGUCUGGCGGCGAGUGGCGAACGGGUGAGUAAUACAUCGGAACGUACCCUGUUGUGGGGGAUAACUAGUCGAAAGAUUAGCUAAUACCGCAUACGACCUGAGGGUGAAAGUGGGGGACCGGAAACGGCCUCAGGCAGCAGGAGCGGCCGAUGUCUGAUUAGCUAGUUGGUGGGGUAAAGGCCCACCAAGGCGACGAUCAGUAGCUGGUCUGAGAGGACGAUCAGCCACACUGGGACUGAGACACGGCCCAGACUCCUACGGGAGGCAGCAGUGGGGAAUUUUGGACAAUGGGGGCAACCCUGAUCCAGCAAUGCCGCGUGUGUGAAGAAGGCCUUCGGGUUGUAAAGCACUUUUGUCCGGAAAGAAAUCGCGCUGGUUAAUACCUGGCGUGGAUGACGGUACCGGAAGAAUAAGCACCGGCUAACUACGUG
rnacentral:rRNA from 1 species